CACUCGGUCCGGAGUUGAUGGGUUAUCUAUGAAUCUUCUUCUGCUUGCAGAAGGAACCCGUUCUUCAGAUGUAAGUCUGUUGAACACCCCGCAACCCUCAAAAAGUUGCAACCCGAUCCCAUCAACACCAACUUGACCGUUGU
rnacentral:sRNA from 1 species